UGAGGAAUAUUGCUCAAUGGGGGAAACCCUGAAGCAGCAACGCCGCGUGAGGGAUGAAGGCGCUUUGCGUUGUAAACCUCUGUAGUUGGAGACAAAACUCUCUCUACUGAGAGAUUGAUGGUAUCCAAAAAGUAAGGAUCGGCUAACUACGUGCCAGCAGCCGCGGUAAUACGUAGGAUCCUAGCGUUGUCCGGAUUUACUGGGUGUAAAGGGUGCGCAGGCGGACUUGUAAGUCAGGGGUGAAAUCUCGGCGCUUAACGCCGAAACUGCCUUUGAUACUAUAAGUCUUGAGUUUGGUAGAGAUCCGUGGAAUUCCGAGUGUAGCAGUGAAAUGUGUAGAUAUUCGGAAGAACACCAGCGGCGAAGGCAGCGGAUUGGGCCAAUACUGACGCUCAGGCACGAAAGCAUGGGGAUCAAA
rnacentral:rRNA from 1 species